CCUACGGGGGGCAGCAGUGAGGAAUAUUGGUCAAUGGACGAGAGUCUGAACCAGCCAAGUCGCGUGAGGGAAGACGGCCCUACGGGUUGUAAACCUCUUUUGUCGGGGAGCAAAGAGAGUCACGUGUGACUCAUUGAGAGUACCCGAAGAAAAAGCAUCGGCUAACUCCGUGCCAGCAGCCGCGGUAAUACGGAGGAUGCGAGCGUUAUCCGGAUUUCGUGGGUUUAAAGGGUGCUCAGGCGGAAGAUCACGUCAUCGGUAAAAUUGAGAGGCUCAACCUCUUCGAGCCGUUGAAACUGGUUUACUUGAGUGAGCGAGAGGUAUGCGGAAUGCGUGGUGUAGCGGUGAAAUGCAUAGAUAUCACGAAGAACUCCGAUUGCGAAGGCAGCAUACCGGCGCUCAACUGACGCUCAUGCACGAAAGUGUGGGUAUCGAACAGGAUUAGAUACCCGUGUAGUC
rnacentral:rRNA from 1 species